rnacentral:rRNA from 1 species
GUGCCAGCCGCCGCGGUAAUACAGAGGGUGCAAGCGUUGUCCGGAAUCACUGGGCGUAAAGGGCGCGUAGGCGGCUUGGUAAGUAGGGGGUGAAAUUCUGCGGCUCAACCGCAGGACGGCCUCCUAAACUGCCUGGCUUGAGCACGGUAGAGGCUGGUGGAAUUCCCGGUGUAGCGGUGGAAUGCGUAGAGAUCGGGAAGAACAUCGGUGGCGAAGGCGGCCAGCUGGGCCGUUGCUGACGCUGAGGCGCGACAGCGUGGGGAGCAAACAGGAUUAGAAACCCGCGUAGUCC